AACAGGAAACAGCCUGCUGUUUCGCUGACGAGUGGCGGACGGGUGAGUAAUGUCUGGGAAACUGCCUGAUGGAGGGGGAUAACUACUGGAAACGGUAGCUAAUACCGCAUAACGUCGCAAGACCAAAGAGGGGGACCUUCGGGCCUCUUGCCAUCAGAUGUGCCCAGAUGGGAUUAGCUAGUAGGUGGGGUAACGGCUCACCUAGGCGACGAUCCCUAGCUGGUCUGAGAGGAUGACCAGCCACACUGGAACUGAGACACGGUCCAGACUCCUACGGGAGGCAGCAGUGGGGAAUAUUGCACAAUGGGCGCAAGCCUGAUGCAGCCAUGCCGCGUGUAUGAAGAAGGCCUUCGGGUUGUAAAGUACUUUCAGCGGGGAGGAAGGGAGUAAAGUUAAUACCUUUGCUCAUUGACGUUACCCGCAGAAGAAGCACCGGCUAACUCCGUGCCAGCAGCCGCGGUAAUACGGAGGGUGCAAGCGUUAAUCGGAAUUACUGGGCGUAAAGCGCACGCAGGCGGUUUGUUAAGUCAGAUGUGAAAUCCCCGGGCUCAACCUGGGAACUGCAUCUGAUACUGGCAAGCUUGAGUCUCGUAGAGGGGGGUAGAAUUCCAGGUGUAGCGGUGAAAUGCGUAGAGAUCUGGAGGA
rnacentral:rRNA from 1 species